rnacentral:rRNA from 1 species
UACGAAGGGGGCUAGCGUUGUUCGGAAUCACUGGGCGUAAAGGGCGCGUAGGCGGCCUGAUAAGUCGGGGGGUGAAAGCCUGUGGCUCAACCACAGAAUUGCCUUCGAUACUGUUAGGCUUGAGACCGGAAGAGGUAAGUGGAACUGCGAGUGUAGAGGUGAAAUUCGUAGAUAUUCGCAAGAACACCAGUGGCGAAGGCGGCUUACUGGUCCGGUUCUGACGCUGAGGCGCGAAAGCGUGGGGAGCAAACAGG